AAUAGUCAAUAUUUUAUUUAUUUGUCCUUCGAUCGAAUAUGAUAAUUUUAUGAUAUAUCGAAUUAAUAAUUCAAUAGAAUAUGAAUAUUUGUAAGGAAGCUAAAUUUGAUUGAAGCCAAAGAUUCGAUUUUUUCUGUUCCAAAAUGUUCCGUGAAGAUACGCAAGAGGAACCAUCGAAACCGUUUCAAGAAAAGAAUUUUAAUUGCAAAAUUAAUCACAGGUCAUGACGAAUGUAAGAGAAUAUACAAGAAUGCAGGGAAAUUAUUGACUCAGAAAAAGUUCGGAUAGUUGGUUCAGGCACAAGGAAGAUAGAGAACUUGGAAAUGGUAACUUUUUGGUGCACUUUCGACAGAAAAUUAUGUAUAUUACUUCCUGACGUCAUGAAGGAAAUAUGGGUACUUUGUUUACAACUAAUAAAAAAGUUUGACAGUUC
rnacentral:lncRNA from 1 species